rnacentral:rRNA from 1 species
AUUGAACGCUGGCGGCAGGCCUAACACAUGCAAGUCGAGCGAGCGGCGGACGGGUGAGUAAUGUAUGGGGACUGCCCGAUAGAGGGGGAUAACUACUGGAAACGGUAGCUAAUACCGCAUACUAUCGGAUAACCCAUAUGGGAUUAGCUAGUAGGUGAGGUAAUGGCUCACCUAGGCGACGAUCCCUAGCUGGUCUGAGAGGAUGAUCAGCGACACUGGGACGGGAACAGGGCCCAGACUGCUGCGGAGGGCGCAGUGGGGAAUAUUGCACAAUGGGGGCAAGCCUGUUGCAGCCGUGCCGCGAGUGUGAAGGAAGCCCUAGGGUUGUAAAGUACUUUCAGUCGUGAGGCGUUACCGACAGAAGAAGCACCGGCUAACUCCGUGCCAGCAGCCGCGGUAAUAC